UUGGGAAUAUUGCACAAUGGGCGCAAGCCUGAUGCAGCCAUGCCGCGUGUAUGAAGAAGGCCUUCGGGUUGUAAAGUACUUUCAGCGGGGAGGAAGGCGAUAAGGUUAAUAACCUUGUCGAUUGACGUUACCCGCAGAAGAAGCACCGUCUAACUCCGUUCCAGCAGCCGCGGUAAUACGGAGGGUGCAAGCGUUAAUCGGAAUUACUGGGCGUAAAGCGCACGCAGGCGUUCUGUCAAGUCGGAUGUGAAAUCCCCGGGCUCAACCUGGGAACUGCAUUCGAAACUGGCAGGCUAGAGUCUUGUAGAGGGGGGUAGAAUUCCAGGUGUAGCGGUGAAAUGCGUAGAGAUCUGGAGGAAUACCGGUGGCGAAGGCGGCCCCCUGGACAAAGACUGACGCUCAGGUGCGAAAGCGUGGGGAGCAAACAGG
rnacentral:rRNA from 1 species